UUAUUUUGGUCACCAAAGAACUAAAAUAUUUGGAGGGAGAUAUUUUAAAUUUUGGAGGAAUUUAUAAUAUUAAUUAAUAUUUAUUUGUCAACAACAAAACCAAUUUGGUCACCAAAGGUGUGAAAAUUUUAUACAGAACAUAUUGUUCUCUCUCACACAGAUGCUCCUUCGCAACCAAACAUCACCCACCUCUUUUCACCACAGACCACCGUCGCUCAUCGUACGUAGCACACCGCCGCCGCCGCUGCAGAACACUGGCUCUCUGUCUCGCUCUCGGUUUGUCUAGAUUUUGAAUUUGAAAAGUGCAAAUGAAUAUAAAUACUUGAGGCAAAGCAAUUGCUAUUCAAUUUCUGGGGUUGAUGAUGCUUAACAGUUUCGCAUUGUAAUGGAAGCUCUGGAUAUUGUUCAUGUUAGCAAAGAGGAUCAAGAAAGUGUAUUUAAAAUGCUCACUGCAGUUUUGUGGUUGGGGAAUGUCUCCUUUACAGUGAUUGAUAAUGAAAACCAUGUUGAACCUGUGGCAGAUGAAGGAAUCUCUUGACAACGUGCUAGUUGAACUCUACAAGAGAUCUGGUAGGAUUGAAGAACAUAUUGCAAUGCUUCAACAUUAAAGUGAAGACUAUUUUUGGAAGAACAGGUUAUUUGGGAACUCGGCCUGGGCAUAUGCUUACAGCAAAAUAAUUUCAAAUCCUUGGAAGAGCUUUAUUAUGCAGCAGGUUAUUUAUAUUUGUGUACGAAGAGUAUUUGUUCUGUAUAUGGGAGAUUUAUUUUUGUACAAUCUUCUGUUUUGGAAUUUCAAUGUUUUUGUAUGUAAUAUUUAAUUUAAAUGGAUUAUAUUUGGUUGGUAUGGAUUUGUAUGAUAUUUGGAAUAUGAUGUUACAAGUAAAAAUUUUUGGAUAGUUGAUAA